CGCAGUGGGGCGCCUGGUGAGCCCUUGUGGCUGGGGUGCUGCGUGUGUUCACGUCUAGGACCGCAGAAUGAGCGGUGUUCGCCUGGGCGUCGGCUUCCGCUCCUGCAGCUGCGUGAUGCCCACCCCGAGGCCGCCGGCCUGCACACCCGUGAGACCCUCGGGCUGACGCGGCUACUCCUGCUCCGCUGUGCCGGCAGCCACUGUGGUCACCGGGACGCGUGCCGGUUACUGUCCUCUGCUCUCUGGUCACCACACGCCCCGUCCCCGGUGCUGUAGGUGGCGGACCCGCAUCUGUAGCUCCUCUGAGCUUCUGGUGCCUCCUGCGCGUUUCCUUCGUGGAGCCUCCUGCGUGUCCUGGCGACCGGUGGAAGUCGUGUUUGCGCUGAACAAGCCAGAGGUGGUUUCUCGCUACAGCAGGGGGGACCCGUUCCACAUCCUGUGACAGGGACGGCGGAGGGGGUGUCCCUGGCCAAUGGAGGGCUCGUGGACGCUGGGCCCACCGUGGACUCAGGGAUUUCUGUUUGUCUUUAGGGUCUUAUUACCUUCCUGGGGCUGCCCUAACGAAGUCACAGACUCAGGGCUCAAACCGCAGGCAUCCCUCUCAGCCUGCAGGCCGCAAGCCCUAAACUGAGGUGUCGCGGGGCCGUGCUGCCUUUGGGGGGGCACCCUGUGCAUCUUCCGGCCUCUGGUGGUGCCAGACAUCCUCGCCAUCCCUUGGUUGGUGGAUGCGUCACCCCCUCUCUGCCUCCAGGGGCACACGGUGUUGCUCUCUUGUUGGGAUGGGACUCACCGACUCCAGCUGGUCACCGACUCCCUCUUACUGAUGGUGCCUGCAGUGGCCCUGUUUCCAACCCCAGGACGCCGUGGGGAUUGCACAGCAUCGGUGCGUCCGGAGCUGCUGGGUUCUUCUCAGUGGCCGCGUGAGAAGCCGUCGGGAGACUUUCAGGACGUAAUCACAAAGGCCAGAACGAGCAGAAGGCACCCUCACAGACCAAGCGUGAUCUGAGUUCCUGCCAGGGAGCACUGGGCCCAGGACAUGGGUGUUCGUCACCCAAACGUUCACGUGUUCCUGCGUUUGCUUUCUCCUUCUCACAGCUGAAUCUGCGGAGUGGAAUAUGUCGGGCUGUGUUCCCCACACCAGGCUGUGCUGCCGCCGGGGCGGCCGUUCGUGUUGCUGCAACGAUACAUGGUCUCUACUCUGCAGUCUGCAUUCACAGGUCUUCGGUUCUCUGUCCCGGGAAGGACUCCCACUUCUCCUGGGGGCCCUUCCGAGUACCUCACCUUCUUGCCAUCGUUGCCGGGGUCCCUCUGCCAUUCCAUCCUCCAACUGGUGACUUCGUGCAGCUAUGAGGACUUUUGGUUUUUGUGUGUUAGUUUUAGCCUUACUGAGUUCGUUUUAUCCUUUGAGUCUGUUUCCUCCCUGUUGAUGGCCUGGUGCCACGCUCGCCGCCCGGUCCGGAGCCCCAUGUGGCUAAGCUCGCGUGUACAGAUGAGAUGAAACGAGACCAGAGGCUCACGAUGCCGCCACAUUCGCCCCAUUCCCAGUGCUUGGCGGCCGCACGGGCUUGGCGGGUUUCCGGCACUGAGCUUGUGGGACAUCCCCUCAUCGUGAAAAGUUUACUGCAUAUUACUGUUCCAGCGUUUUCCAGGUACAUCAGUGUAGCCUUUGCAAAUGGACACAGCUGGCUUUGGGCUCUGUUCUCGGGGCCCUCACGGGUUCCCCGUGUCUGACUGCAGUGGCUGAGGCCUCCAGGGCCGGGCUGGCGGGCGGUGAAGGCAAGCAUAGUCCUCAUCUUGCCCCUCAUGACACCAGCGUCUGCUUCAGUGAGGUGGAGACUUUAGAAAAGGCUAUGUUACUAUGUUAAGAAAGCGGCUGUCACUUCCUAUUUUCCUUACUGUUUGUACUUUUAUCAGGAAUGGGUGUUAAAUUUUGCCAGAGGCUUUUUGUGCACCUAUGGGGGGAAAGCAUGUGAUUUUUCUCUUCGGGUCUGUCAAGAGUGACUUUCAUAAAU